UAAUCCGGAGAAGUGGGGGAGAGCGCAGCACGGAUUGAAACGAAUGCCAGAGCCAGAAGAAUAAUGUCAGGAGCAGGGGGAGCCCAGCAGGUGCAAUUUAUUCCUAUCAGGGUGCUGUGCUCACAGCUGCGAUAUUGCAAUGCCGUGUGUGCUGCAAUGCUGUGGGUACCUCGGGUGCUGCAAUGCUGUUAUGCUGUGGGUGCUGCAGGUGAUGCAACGCCAUGGGUGCUGCAAUGCUGCGGGUGCUGCAAGCUGCAGGAGUUGUGUGUAGUGCAGGGACAGACACCUGCUGCCAGCCUCCUCCCAUCCACUCUGACCUGCUUCGUCCUGCCCUUCCCUGCCACGCUCUUGAUGCACACAAGACUUUAUUUAGCAAAUGCUUUCGGUGUGAAACUCACCUCUUCUGGGACACGCGCUGCUCGCACUGUAGUGAUUAAUGAGCAAGACGAAGACCUUCUCCUUGCCCCAUCACCCUUGAAAUCUGCUUCAUCGCGCAUAGUAAGAGGGAAGAAAUUUGGGUGAUUAUGCUUUUGUCGUGCUCUUCAGGUAGAUCCUCGCUGUGAUUGCAGCCUCUGGGUUGGAGGAGAAUUUUUAUUUGAACAAUAGGUCAAAUGCGAAUUCACCUUGCUCCAGACACAGGAUAUUACCUCUGAUUUUGGAGCCUUUUGGCCUUUUUAAAGGAAAGGAAAAGAAAGAAAAUCCUCACUGUCUAAUUACAUUGGUUACAGGCAAUCAGAUUUAGUCAUCUUCGGAUGGCUUUCAUUUGGCAUUGACUGAUGACACUUCAGCAGCUGCCCCGAGCACUUUCUGGCAUUACAAAGGAGUUUUGAUGUUACACCACCACCUCCCCAUGGCCACCUCCAUCUCCAUCCCUGCUGGAGAUGCCCAGUGUGGGGCCGGGUGCUGGCAGCACCCCUGGGUUCCUCUAUGGCUGGGAAUGCGGGGCUGUGAGAUCACACGUCUGGGAGGUGGUGAUGGAAACUCCACUCGGACCUGAGGUUUGAAAGAGAAGAGCAAAAUACAGCUCUGAAUAGUCCCUAUCAUCUUUUAUAACACGGCACUCUGAUAGUGGAACAAUACUCCCAAGGAGAAGGCUGAUGUAGCCGAUAAAAAGCAGAUUUGUAUUUCUGAGACAGGGGAGUGAACGCAGGGGCUGAGCACAUCGCUGCAGGGAGGCAUUGCACUGACAGCUCGGGGUGCACAGCAGCAAGCACUGCACCAGGUUCUGCACGCCGUGCCCUUGGUGUUGGGCUAAUCAACACUGCCCAUUGGGAAUCCGGCCCAUUUGUAGCUUUUUUAUCCUAUGGACCUAACCUGCUUCCUCUAAAAGUUUCCACGCUGCACUUUUCGAGUUGGGAAGUCUCUUCUGAUGCCUCAAAAAGUGGCAGCUUGAGUCUCCUCACUGUGCUGUGCUUGCAGCCCGUGACCUUGCUAUGGAGCACCGUGGCAUCGGGCGGCCGGGACGGCUGGGUGCUCUGCCAAGGAGCACCGCUGACAUGAAGGGAGAUGGACACCUUAACAGACUGAUAAGGAAACCAUCGGAACAUCCUAAUGUGAACACAAUAAAUAAUAAAUCCUUCCUCGUAGCCA
ensembl:lncRNA